rnacentral:rRNA from 1 species
AACGAACGCUGGCGGCAUGCCUAACACAUGCAAGUCGAACGAGACCUUCGGGUCUAGUGGCGCACGGGUGCGUAACGCGUGGGAACCUGCCCUUAGGUUCGGAAUAACUUCCCGAAAGGGAUGCUAAUACCGGAUAAUGUCUUCGGACCAAAGAUUUAUCGCCUUUGGAUGGGCCCGCGUAGGAUUAGCUUGUUGGUGGGGUAAUGGCCUACCAAGGCGACGAUCCUUAGCUGGUCUGAGAGGAUGAUCAGCCACACUGGGACUGAUACAAGGCCCAGACGCCUACGGGAGGCGGCAGUGGGGAAUAUUGGACAAUGGGCGAAAGCCUGAUCCAGCAAUGCCGCGUGAGUGAUGAAGGCCUUAGGGUUGUAAAGCUCUUUUACCAGGGAUGAUAAUGACAGUACCUGGAGAAUAAGCUCCGGCUAACUCCGUGCCAGCCGCCGCCGUAA